GGAAACGGAAAAUACAUUUUAUGUAUAACAGCUACUUGAGAAGUCCAUAUGUCUGAGAAAGGUGAAAGGAAAGAGAAGGAUGACAAGCACAAAAUGGAUAGACUUGAUUACAACAGCAAUGGAUGCCCCAGUGGAACACCUGAAGGUCCAGCUUAAGGACAGAUCAUCUUGCAAAAUGUCAUUUUAUGUAGUUGGUGAGAAUCAAUGCUGACUUGACGACAGUUUGUCAAUCGAAUUGGUAAAGAUCUCCCAUUCAGCUUCCAAGAAGGAUAAAGGACCACAGAGGAGACUCAUAAAUGCCUUUCUCUGCCACCGUGAUGCUCUGUAAUGUUAAUAAAUGAGAAA